rnacentral:lncRNA from 1 species
AUAGCAAAUGAUUGUAUUUCAGUAUGUAUGCUGAAACUUCUAUCUUUGUGCCUAUUUUUUUAAUGCAGUUAUGUGGUUUUUGUAUGUUGUUCUGUUUUCUAGGAGACUGUGCCGAGGGAUUCUGGUGCAAAAGUGGUGCCAAAGUAAGAAAUCCUCAAGAUGGAAAAUCAGGAUUUCCUUGUCCACCUGGUCAUUAUUGUCCAGAAGGUAGGGUGCUUUGCUAAAGCAUAUUUUUUCUUAUUUCAUGUAAAGCAUGGGGUGGCAUUCCCUCACUCUGGUGCCAUUCAUUUUGCCAGGUGCACCACUUCCCCUAGAGUGCCCUCCUGGCACUUGGUCUGGCAGUGAAGGCAGCAGCAGUUUGCUGGAAUGCCAGCCUUGCCCUGGGGGAUACUAUUGCAAUAGCUCUGGACAGAGGGCUCCCACAGGACUCUGCAGCCCAGGGUAAGAGAAUAGUGAACAUAUUCAUGUACACUUCGUAAGGAAAGGUGUUCUACAAGGGAUCUUCUUUACCAUCUUGAAAUAAUGACAGUACGCUCCUAUACUCACUGCUGCAGGUAUUACUGUGUCACCAGGGCCCGGACCCCAACACCCACGGAUGGCCUCUCAGGAGCUCCUUGUCCAGUCAAUCACUUUUGUCCUCUUGGAUCCAGGAGUCCAGCACCAUGUCCUGCUGGCUCCUACAUGCCACAGACCCACGGAGAGAAGUGCCAUGCUUGCCCAGAGGGUGAAUACUGUGUCCCUGGGGAGAAGCCAGAGCCAUGUCCCCAGGGUGAGUUAGGAUUCCCCUUACCUGCCUGGUUUGCUGUAGAUUUUCUGAAGGCUGCUAAUGCUGACCUGUUCUUUCUUUUCCAGGGCACUUCUGUCCCAAGGGUACAGCUUUUCCAAUGGCUUGUCCAGCAGGGUCGUAUAACCCCUCACAAAGGCAAUCCAGCUGCCUCCCCUGUCCUGAAGGGUUCUUCUGCCCCAAAAAUUCCUCUUCAUUUUUGGAGAAUGAAUGUUCAGCUGGCCACUACUGCCCUACCGGUACUGCUGCUGCCACUCAGUUUCCAUGUCCCCAGGGAACUUACAACCCACAAAAUGGAAGCAGCCUGUUGUCUCACUGUACCCCCUGUGACCCAGGUAAACAACAUGUAAGCGUAUCUCAGGGCGGUGACUGGACAGCUUAUGAAAAUGCAUUUUGCAUGUUCUUGAGCUUCGCUAGUAGCAUGUUCAUGGUUCAGUGGCUGAAUGACAGGCUACAGUGUCCCACACCCAGUGUGUGACGUGGA